CAUGCAAGUCGAGGGGAAACGACAUCGAAAGCUUGCUUUUGAUGGGCGUCGACCGGCGCACGGGUGAGUAACGCGUAUCCAACCUGCCCAUCACUUGGGGAUAACCUUGCGAAAGUAAGACUAAUACCCAAUGAUAUCUCUAGAAGACAUCUGAAAGAGAUUAAAGAUUUAUCGGUGAUGGAUGGGGAUGCGUCUGAUUAGCUUGUUGGCGGGGUAACGGCCCACCAAGGCGACGAUCAGUAGGGGUUCUGAGAGGAAGGUCCCCCACAUUGGAACUGAGACACGGUCCAAACUCCUACGGGAGGCAGCAGUGAGGAAUAUUGGUCAAUGGGCGAGAGCCUGAACCAGCCAAGUAGCGUGCAGGAUGACGGCCCUAUGGGUUGUAAACUGCUUUUAUAAGGGAAUAAAGUGAGUCUCGUGAGACUUUUUGCAUGUACCUUAUGAAUAAGGACCGGCUAAUUCCGUGCCAGCAGCCGCGGUAAUACGGAAGGUCCGGGCGUUAUCCGGAUUUAUUGGGUUUAAAGGGAGCGUAGGCCGGAGAUUAAGCGUGUUGUGAAAUGUAGACGCUCAACGUCUGCACUGCAGCGCGAACUGGUUUCCUUGAGUACGCACAAAGUGGGCGGAAUUCGUGGUGUAGCGGUGAAAUGCUUAGAUAUCACGAAGAACUCCGAUUGCGAAGGCAGCUCACUGGAGCGCAACUGACGCUGAAGCUCGAAAGUGCGGGUAUCGAACAGGAUUAGAUACCCUGGUAGUCCGCACGGUAAACGAUGGAUGCCCGCUGUUGGUCUGAAUA
rnacentral:rRNA from 1 species